UGGGGAAUCUUGCGCAAUGGGCGAAAGCCUGACGCAGCCAUGCCGCGUGGAUGAUGAAGGUCUUAGGAUUGUAAAAUCCUUUCACCGGUGAAGAUAAUGACUGUAGCCGGAGAAGAAGCCCCGGCUAACUUCGUGCCAGCAGCCGCGGUAAUACGAAGGGGGCUAGCGUUGCUCGGAAUUACUGGGCGUAAAGGGAGCGUAGGCGGACAUUUAAGUCAGGGGUGAAAUCCCAGAGCUCAACUCUGGAACUGCCUUUGAUACUGGGUGUCUUGAGUGUGAUAGAGGUAUGUGGAACUCCGAGUGUAGAGGUGAAAUUCGUAGAUAUUCGGAAGAACACCAGUGGCGAAGGCGACAUACUGGAUCAUUACUGACGCUGAGGCUCGAAAGCGUGGGGAGCAAACA
rnacentral:rRNA from 1 species